AUGUCGUUAGCCAUGGAAGUCGAGGCCAUCGGCCAAGAAACCUUCGGUGCAAUCACGAUGAUCGAGGACGGCGACGAUGACGAGGUGCUCACCAGCGACGACGGGGGCAGCGACAGUCACGGAGAGAUGAUCGUCACCGACGACGACGAGCUGUUCGAGCUCGACAUCACCUUCCUCCGCGGCGACAACGAGGACGGCCAAGGCCGACACGAUACGCACAGCGCUGGUGAUGGCGCCCAUGCCCUGAUGGCCAACUGCCUGCUGCCAGUGAGCUCGGUCAGCAUGGCGGUGCCGGUCACGGGCAGCAACAUUGUCUCAUCCUACUAUGCCUUCUCCACGUACAGCAGCUCGAGGAAGUCCGGCAUCAGCGGCGGUGGCAGGAGGAGACUUGGGCGCGCAGCUGCUGACGGCCGCAACUCCACUUGGGCGAGGUUUCGCCUCUCGAGCAGGGGAUUCGCAACCAUGGGGAAUUUUCAGAGAUAG
rnacentral:rRNA from 1 species